rfam:Dipodomys ordii contig_27482, whole genome shotgun sequence.
UGCUGAGGGGCUGAGUGGUAGAGCGCUUGCCUUGCAUGCAUGAGGCCCUGGGUUCAAUUCCUCAGCAC